UGCUAAGUUCACCGGACUUGGAUACGAUGUGACGUCAUUAUAACGUAUACGCGCUACAUCGAAAACGAUAGAAACCUUAUAUCGACUAUUCGACUUUGUGAACUUUCGAGAGGUUGUGACAGGAUAGCGCUGUGCUCUGCGCCAUUCAUUUAAAUGUGGUUUGUAGUGAUGGGCUAAACUGCGAUUUUCCAAUAUCAGUGAUUUCAGUGAAUGCUACUUUUCAGUAACUGUUAUUCUUAACUGUGAUUUGUCACAGUUAAGGAACAUAGGUAGUGUAUCCCUCCGCCACUGCUACUUCUGCGAUUUCUGCUACUUCCGCGAUUUUGCGACUCCUGCGAUAUCUGCGACUUACCACUGUAUGAAAAAGUUACAUCUGUCCACACAGAAAAUUGCAUCUAAACAAACCUGUCAUUGGUACCCGAACUACAUUUCAGUCACUCAGUAAAAUGAUAACUCAAAAUAUCAUUGUCAACAGAUCUGGAGAAAUUGCCACUGCGUCUUUAGACCGUUUUUGUCAGACGAGAGACACAGUUCUGACUCUGAUUACUCGUUGCUGUACGUAUCUAUCCACAUCAAGGCUGUUGAGAGAGACUCGUGAAGAUUCAAGACAGCUCUUACAGGAUUUGCAGUUUAAAAUUGACAUAAUUGUGAAAUAAGUGUGCAGAUGAGUGAUUAAACUAUGCUUAUUGAAGUUGUUGUGCGGUUUUAAAGGAAUAAUAAAUGUUAAAUACAGUGAGU